rnacentral:lncRNA from 1 species
AUGACAUUUUCCAGUAAGAGAGAUGACGAAGGCAAGGUUUUAACAAUUCCGUUUGGGUAUUGUGAUGGCAACCCAAACAAGAAGCAAUCUGGUUGUAUAGAGAGAACAAGACGAAACAAUCUAGCUAGGAAUUCCUCGGGUUCACCUAUCAGCAAUGAUAUCCAUACUGGAGAGAUGUCUUCAUCCAGGUUUUAUUGGGAAUUGUCAAUCAAGGCCAGAGAGCUCCCACUGCCUGCCCUUGAUACACAACUACUCAAGAGUAAAGUUCAAACCGCAGCCCCCCAAACUCACGUGAAUAUCAAUUCAACGACAUAAGGCAUCUUGAUAUUCCUCAUUUCAAUUGUUCACCUGUAUCAUGGGGCUCAAGAAACACUGACAGAAGUUGCCAUGUGCUGCGGCCUGCUGGGGACAUGAAGGAAUGUGGAUCAGGGCAGUCACAACAUCAUCAACCCAAUUCUCCAAGGUAGCUGGCCAAUAAUGCUAUUCUAAUUGAAUAACUUAUCCACAGCGAUUUCCCCGGGGAGAG